rnacentral:rRNA from 1 species
AGAAUCAACGCUGGCGGCGUGCCUAACACAUGCAAGUCGAACGAGAAAGUGGAGCAAUCCAUGAGUAAAGUGGCGGCCGGGUGAGUAACACGUGACCAAUCUACCCUUGAGUGGGGGAUAACCUCGGGAAACCGAGGCUAAUACCGCAUAACAUCCUUGGAACGGAAGUACUGGGGAUCAAAGGAGCAAUUCGCUCAAGGAGGAGGUCGCGGCUGAUUAGCUAGUUGGCGGGGUAAUGGCCCACCAAGGCAAAGAUCGGUA